GACGAAGGAUGCAAGCGUUAUCCGGAUUCAUUGGGUGUAAAGGGCGCGUAGGUGGUCUGGUAAGUCAGUGGUGAAAUCUCGCAGCUUAACUGCGAAACUGCCAUUGAUACUGUAGGACUUGAGUAUAGUUGCGGUGGGCGGAAUAUGACAUGUAGUGGUGAAAUACUUAGAGAUGUCAUAGAACACCGAUUGCGAAGGCAGCUCACAAAACUAUAACUGACACUGAGGCUCGAAAGUGCGGGGAUCAAACAGG
rnacentral:rRNA from 1 species